UACAUGGGGUGCAAACGUUGCUCGGAAUUAUUGGGCGUAAAGCGCACGUAGGCGGUUUGUUAAGUCGGAUGUGAAAUCCCUCGGCUCAACUGAGGAAGUGCAUCCGAAACUGGCAGGCUUGAGUACUAAAGAGGGUCGCGGAAUUCCCGGUGUAGAGGUGAAAUUCGUAGAUAUCGGGAGGAACACCAGUGGCGAAGGCGGCUCGCUGGGCCGGUCCUGACGCUGAGACGCGAAGGCGUGGGGAGCGAACGGG
rnacentral:rRNA from 1 species